CCGGCUCGGCGCGUGUCCCCGGGAUGCUCGCGGCUCGUUUCUGCCCGGCCUGGGAGGCCUGUGCGCACUGCAGUACCACGGGGAGUUGUAAAACCCCGUGCCACCCGCCAGUCGCCAAGUCCUCGCCCCCAGGUCUGCGCGGCCCCCACAGGCGGCUAUCAACCAAGCGGCCAAGCCGUCCCCACCCCCUGACCAGUGGCUGGGAAAAGUGGAUCUGGCUGAUGUCGUCAGAGCCCCGGAGCCGGGGCGGGGCGGGGCGGGGCGGCGGCUCCCACGAUCCCAAGGCCGUGCACCUGCCUCCUCCCCCCCCCCCACCACCCCGCGCCCCACCUGAGGGCUUGGGAACAAAGGUGCAUUGUAUAGGGCGCAAUCGGCCUCAUUAUUUCGUUUUCGGGAAUGGGGCCGCGCGGGCCCCCAGCCCAGAACGAAGGUGUGGGGCGGAAGGGGGCAAGCGCCAAGCCCGAGAUGGGCACGAGCUCACCACUAAGGCCCUGUAAGGGGGAAUGGGGGCGGGCCAAAUCCCAGAAGGCGAUCCGUCCCUUCCGACACUCGCGCUAUCCCUGGACCGGCAUUAAAAAAUGGGCAACAUUCUCAGGUAGAGGCGGACGGGCUUUGGAGACCCUCGCCGGCCUCUUGGGGCCAGAGGGCGCGUGCUCCUAUUUCAGUCCCCCCAAAUUGCAAUAAGGCCUCCUACCCGGUACUAACUUAGACAUGAAAGGCGCGACCUCCCUAAAACGGACUCCCAGCAGCGGACCACGUCGCCCCUCCCGCCCCCUCGCGACGCGGCGCAGCCGGGGUCGGAGCGGGGUGAACCCGGCGUGCGCCUCGGCGCGCAGGGGGUUAACAGGAGUUGGCUCUGAGCGGAGAGGCGGGGGUGCGCCCCCAUUGGUGGAAAGUUACCCGGGGGCGUGGCCCGCGAGUCUCCGCACCCCACCCCCAGCCCCGCACCGCCCCCCCCCCCCCACCUCCACUUUGUACCUUUCUCGCCGCGGCAGCGAAGCGGGCCGGGACCGGCCGGACCAGACCAGAGCGGACCCCGGGGGCGAUGCGGCUGCUGCCCCUGCUGCGGACUGUCCUCUGGGCCGCGCUCCUCAGCUCCCCGCUGCGAGGGGGCUCCGGCCUCCGCCACGCCGUCUACUGGAACUCCAGUAACCCCAGGCUGCUCGGAGGAGACGCGGUGGUGGAGCUGGUCCUCAACGACUACCUGGACAUCUUCUGCCCGCAUUAUGACGGGCCAGGGCCCCCGGACGGCCCCGAGACGUUUGCUUUGUACAUGGUGGACCGGCAGGGCUACGAGGCCUGCCAGGCCCAGGGCCCGGGCGCCUUCAAGCGCUGGGAGUGCGCCCUCCCCUUCGCUCCCUUUGGUCCCGUCCGAUUCUCAGAGAAGAUUCAGCGCUUCACGCCCUUCUCCCUUGGCUUCGAGUUCUUGCCUGGAGAAACCUACUACUACAUCUCGGUACCGGCCCCGGAGAGUUCUGGCCGCUGCUUGAAGCUCCAGGUGUCUGUCUGCUGCCAGGAGAGCACGAUUCCUUCCUUCCUCUAUUUGUUCAUUCAUUCACCAAAUCGUGGGCUCCCAGUGCCCUUCUUCCGGCAGGCCACCGCAGCUGGGGGCGUCGGGGGAUUCCCAGCGGUGACGCAGUAGGAGAAGGGCGCCCUGGCUUCCAAGUAGCCAAUUGAAUCCUGGGGCCUGGGGCAUGAGGUCAUCAGCGGUGAUGCCCAUUGGUUCAGGCCUGGACGUGGGGAGGGGGUCCCCAUAGCAACCGACGGUGCGUCCGACCGUAACCCGGAGAGUGGUCGUUGCCGGAGCUCCGGAGGCAGCUUGGGUGGUGUUUGGGUUGGGGGCGGGGAGGCGGAGUGGAGCCCAGACCCCCCCCCCCCCCCCCCAGGUCCCGCAGCCCUGGCCCAACCAAGCUGCUGUCGUUCUGGAGAUCUUUUUCUCACUCAAAGUAAUGGUCAAAUUGAGCAGACAGCCCCACAUCCCAGCCCUGUCGCGCGUCUGUAUCCCGACUUUAUCCCUCAGCAGCUCCGUAAUCUCUCUCUUUCUCCAGUUCCUCACCCCACCCCUCUCCCAGCCGGCGGUGUCCCCUCGGGUGCGAGGGGGCGCAGCCUAGCAAGAGCGGAAAGAGAAGUCCGCCUCUCCCCCUGGACGUCUGCUGACAGAUGGGGAGGGCUGGUCCCUACCGCCUAGCGACUAAACUGACAAAGCAAAUGGUGGGGGAGGUGCCCGGGGCUGGGCGGGGGUCUCCGGGGCCAAGUCACCCACACGCCCAGCAGGGUGCUGGGACUAGGGCCGCCUGCUUGCAGCCAGGGGCGGGCCUGCCCACCUGUCUGGUGCCAGGACAGCUUCCUGCCUCCAAUUAAACGCUAAUGAGGUGUCAUUAACCCUUAGCUUGCCUGCCAGCCCUCAGGUGGAGUUUAGAUUCGUGGUCUCACCCCAAACCGAGGGGCGGAGAGGAGGCCCUU